GAUGAAGAACGCAGCGAAAUGCGAUACGUAAUGUGAAUUGCAGAAUUCAGUGAAUCAUCGAAUCUUUGAACGCAUAUUGCGUUCUCUGGUAUUCCGGAGAGCAUGCUUGUUUGAGUAUCAGUAAACACCUCAACUUCCAUAUCUUUUUUGAAAUGGGAGUUGGACUUGAGUGAUCCCAACGCUUUUCCUCACCGAAAAGUGGCGGGUUACUUGAAAUGCAGGUGCAGCUGGACUUUUCUCUGAGCUAUAAGCAUAUCUAUUUAGUCUGCCUAAAAAACAGAUUAUUACCUUUGCUGCAGCUAACAUAAAGGAGAUUAGUUCUUGUGCUGACUGAUGCAGGAUUCACAAAGACAGGCUUCGGCCGACUUUGUAAACUCGAUCUCAAAUCAAGUAAGACUACCCGCUGAACUUAAGCAUAUCAAUAAGCGGAGGA
rnacentral:misc_RNA from 1 species